rnacentral:lncRNA from 1 species
AAGCCAACAUUGAAAAGGGAGAAGUUGCCGAAGGUCAAACCACUGCCAAGGUGAGACUGCAGGCUGAAGAGAGCCCUGGCUGGAGAGCCCUCCUGAAUGGCAGUGGGGCUCUGAGAUCUGGAGAGCUGGAGAGAAAAUGGCAACAGAAAGAAAUUCUUCACAGGAAAUGACUUGAAUUUAAUUUGCCAUGGACUUCUUCAGCUGGAUACCAGAAAUCCAUUCGUUCUGUACCAAUCCUGCGCUGAGCACCUGAAAGUGCUGAGGCCCAAUAAUGAGGGCAGAACACUUGGCUUCAGAGAGUACACAGCAUCUGGCAGAGAAAGAAAUAUACCACAAAUGGGGCGUUUCGGAGGUUAAGGAAAAUUCCCUCUCCCCGCACACUGGGGGCACUGAAGAAAUGAAGAACACGAUGCAUCCACUCUGAAGCAGAGAUUCAGAAAAAAGCUAAAGGAGUUGACUUGCUUGAGUGUAUGCCCCUGGGAGGAAGGUGUGUAAGGUUAUGUAAGAUGGAACCAAUUUUAUCCCGUGUGAUGCUAGGAAAAGAAUGGAAAGCCACACCACAGAGGGGUCUAAAUUGAGCGCAUUGCGGUCAGUGUUCAGCCUGAGCUGAGAAAAGAAACCAGGCUCCCCAUGGGGAGGCAGGAACUUUCUCAGUGAUUUUUGAAGUCCAUGUAAAUAAAUAAAUAGCUAACAUUUAUUGAGCACUUGUUAUGUGAGCACUCUUCUAAGAGAUUUGUGUGCAUUGAUUUAUUUUCAUCACAGAACUUGACAGGUG